rnacentral:rRNA from 1 species
AGUGAACGCUGGCGGUAGGCCUAAUACAUGCAAGUCGAACGGCAGCACAGUAAGAGCUUGCUCUUACGGGUGGCGAGUGGCGGACGGGUGAGGAAUACAUCGGAAUCUACUUUUUCGUGGGGGAUAACGUAGGGAAACUUACGCUAAUACCGCAUACGACCUACGGGUGAAAGCAGGGGAUCUUCGGACCUUGCGCGAUUGAAUGAGCCGAUGUCGGAUUAGCUAGUUGGCGGGGUAAAGGCCCACCAAGGCGACGAUCCGUAGCUGGUCUGAGAGGAUGAUCAGACACACUGGAAAUGAGACACGGUCCAGACUCCUACGGGAGGCAGCAGUGGGGAAUAUUGGACAAUGGGCGCAAGCCUGAUCCAGCCAUACCGCGUGGGUGAAGAAGGCCUUCGGGUUGUAAAGCCCUUUUGUUGGGAAAGAAAAGCAGCAGGUUAAUACCCCGCUGUUCUGACGGUACCCAAAGAAUAAGCACCGGCUAACUUCGUG